AUGUAUUAUUUAUACAAAUUUCGGUAAUAAAAACUUUAACCACUUGGUAGUUUUACAUGCUUCGGUGGGAAUUCUUGUUCAGUGUAAUUUUGGGCCACAAUCAAUACAUUUCAAGUCAUAAUAAGCUUGUGUCUAGUAAUAACGACAUCUAAAAAACGCAUAGAAAUGAACAUUCAGCUAUGACAUGGAAUUCAACCACUAGAUUCAUCAACACUAACAAUGCGCAUAUGAAAUCCCUAAAAUUGUAUGAGGCAUUCUAUUCAAAUAUUUCAUGCUUUGUUUAAACAAUUGCGUGAGGAAUAUAGUAACUGUCAGUCACUGUGGUGUGAUGCAAAGGAUGUGAAAUGUGAUACCUGGAGAAAUUCAGGUUUUACAGCGUUCCUAGUUUUUUCGGUAAAAAAAAAAUGGCUGCCAGGGGGGGGGGGGCAGUUUACCUGAUAUGACUAAAGAGAAACCUUGUAAACAUGGAAGUCACAUUUUGUGCCUAAUAAUUGUAAAACUUAGUCAAGACAUUGGUUUUAUUGAUAUCUCCGACAAGUUGGAAAAUUGCUCAGAUAAGGGGCAUGUGGGGUCAAAAUCUAGGUCACCAGGUCAAAGCUUGAAAAACCUUGUUAACACAAAAGAUUCCACAUUUGUAACUCAAUUAUGCAUCAUGUAGAAUAUGCAUCAAAACCGUAUUUCCAUUUUUUCUUUGGAUAUUCUUAUGUUUUAAAUGAAACAGUUGUAUGUGUGUGUGCGCGCGCAUGUUUGUGCGAGUUUAUUUGCGUGGGUAUCUGGACUAUCUUCUGUUGACAUUUAUAAACCCUUUUUUGAUCCGUAACAUUCAUGUAUAUUGUGAAGAGACACUUUAGUUUUAUGUUCUUUUAUGUUCUAUCUUCUUGCAUAGUCCAUUGAGCAACUUUUCCUGCAUAAAGUUUACAUAGCUUCAAGUGUAAAUACGUUGGCAUCCUAUGCUGUUUUAGAAUUUUACUUCUUGUUUUUUAGUAAUUAGAGUAGAAUAUGCAUCAUAUCCUUAUUUCCAUUUUUUUCUUUGGAUAUUCUUAUGUUUUAAAUGAAACAGUUGUAUGUGUGUGUGCGCAUGUUUGUGAGGUUUGUUUUUUAGGGCAUCUGGACUAUCUUCUGUUUACAUUUAUAAACCCUUUUUUGAUCCGUAACAUUUGUUUAUAUUAUGAAGAGACACAUUAGUUUUAUGUUCUUUUAUGUUCUAUCUUCUUGCAUUGUCCAUUGAGCAACUUUUCUUGCACGAAGUUUACAUAGCUUUAAGUUUAAAUACGUUUGCACCCUAUGCUGUUUUAGAUUUUUACUUCUUGUUUUUGUAAUUAGAGUAGAAUAUGCAUCAUAUCCUUAUUUCCACUUUUUAGCUCACUUGAGCGAUAGCUUGGGGUGAGCUAUUGUGAUCACUCACCGUCCGGCGUCCGUCCGUCCGUCCGUCUGUCUGUCUGUCUGUCUGUCUGUCUGUAAACAAUUUGUAAACAUCUUCUUCUACUAAACCAUUGAGCCAAUUUCAACUAAAUUUCAUGUGGAGCAUCCCUCGGUCAUGGGACAAAAGAAUUGUAAAAAAAAAUUUGAUCACAUAACCAAGAUGGCCGCCAUGACCAUAUAUGGUAAAAACCUUAAAAAAUCUUUUUGUCAGAAACCGCUCAUCAGAUUUUCAAAAAAUUUCACAGGGAUGACCUUUGAAGGCUCCCCUGAAAAAGUUGUUCAAAGAAAUUUGAUUCGUCAAAAAACAUGGCCGCAGGAGCUCGUUGAACUUUGCAUGUUUAUUCGUUUUUGCCUAUUUUGUGAAAACUUUCAAAAAUCUUCCACAUUUUUUGUCCGAUCCUUUCCAAAUUUGCACAGUGUCUUUAUAUCAAUGAGGACACGAACCCUACAAAAAUGAGCAUUAUUGGUCAAUGAAGUACAGAAUUACCUCCCCUUGAAUUGAGAAAAUGGUGUUUAUGCAAUUAAGUCCAAAUUUUUCAUCCAAUUCUUUCCAAACUUGCACAGUGUCUUCAUAUCAAUGAAAACUUGAGCCCUGUCGAGAAUGAGCAACAUCGGACCAUUUAGUCCAGAAUUAUCUCCUUGAGAUGGCAGAUUUAGAAAUAAUUAUAGUGAACUCUUUUUUCCAAUUAAUAGUGCUAUUAGAGUAAAGGAUUUGCUGGCUACAGGCCAGGUUUCUCUGACACGAUUCUCUUCUGAUGGCUUUGCUGCAGACCACAUAAACCCUUAACCCAGAACAGUUAAUUCUUUCUGCAAAUGUUUGUGACUGUGGAAAUCAUUGAAAUAAAAGGAGAAAUUGCUGAAAUUAGCAUUUUCUCCUUUCAUCACAAUGCUUCCUACCCUAUUAAAUAAGUUUCUUCUUAUUCCAUAAUAAUUUAAUUUGUCGUCUGCAACCUCUUUCAAUUUGGAAAAGGGUUAACUACCAGAAAUCAAUUAAUGCUGUAGUUUUGUUGAUGAGAAAUUAUUUUUCCUUUAAAAUGGGAGGUGAUUAUUGCUUAGGAAAUUGCUCUGGUAGGGUUGAAUCAUUGUGGGAAAUUGAGAAAUUGUUCAGUCCAAAAUAUGUUGAUUGGUAAAGGGUUAAAUGGAUACCAUUUUUAAAAUGGGAGGUGAUAAUUGCUUAGGAAAUUGCUCUGGUAGGGUUGGAUCAUUGUGGAAAAUUGAGAAAUUGUUCAGUCCAAAAUAUGUUGAUUGGUAAAGGGUUAAAUGGAUACCUUUUUUUUCCAAGUUACCCUUUUCCUUAUGCGAACAUGGGUUGCCUAUUUAGUGGAUGAUAUCUUGUCAAUUUUGAGAAAAAAGAGGAAUCUCUUCAAAACAAGCAAAAAUUCCUUUUAUCUCAAUGUUUAAGUCCACUUUUUAGCGUACCUGAGCUGAUCAUAUUUUCCUCCUAAACCAUUGAGCCAAUUUCAACCAAAUUUCAUGUGGAGCAUCCUUACGUCACGGGAAAAAAUAUUGUUAAAAAAAAAUUUGGUCACAUAACCCAGCUGGCCGCCAUGCCCAUAUAUGGUCAAAACCUUAAAAAAUCUUCUCGUCAGAAACGGCUCGUCGGAUUUUCAUUUUUUUUUACAGGGAUGAUCCUUAAAGGCUCCCCUAAAAAAGUUGUUCAAGAAAAUUUGUUUCGUUGAAAAACAUGGCCGCAGGAGCUCUUUGAACUUUGCAUGUUUAUACGUCUUUGCAUAUUUUGUGAAAACUUUGAAAAUCUUCUUGUCCAUAACCAUAAGGCCUAGGGCUACCAAAUUUGGUAUGUGGUGAAAUCUUAUAGUCCUCAACCAAAUAGGUAGAAAACAUGGUGUUUAAAGGAGAUUUUGCUUGCUAUGAGCAAUUUCUUCUUUUGUCUUCUUAAGUCAUCUGAGGUAGAAGGGUAACUCCCCUAACAGUACUUCAAGAAAUCCUUCAUUGCAUAACACCUGUGAAGAUGUAAGUUCAACUUCUGUUGAACCCAUAAACCCUUUACCAAAUGACAACUUUUGGACUGUCCCAAAUUCAAAGAGGUCGCAGAUGACAAAGAACAUUGUAAUGGAAUGUGAAGAAAUAGCUUUGGUAGGGUUGAAAUCAUUGUGAUAAAAGGAGAAAUUGCUCAAAAUAAGCAAUUUCUCCUUUAAUCACAAAUGAUUUCUAGAGUCGUCUGCAAUAAACCAGUAAAUUCUUGUUAUUGUUUGUAAUGGGUUGAUCCAUUUCCACAUUUUUGGUUGGAAUAACCCAAACGGUAACAGGAUUUUAUGGAUUUGGUGCAGAAGACUGUAUAAAUCAUUGUGAUUAAAGGAGAAAUUACUCAUAUUGAGCAAUUUCUCCUUUUAUCACAAUUAUUUAUACUCUUCCAAAGCUAUUUCUUCAUAUUCCAUUAUAAUUUUAAGUGUUGUCUGCAUCAUCUUUCAAUUUGGGACAGUUCAAAAUGUGUCAUUUGGUAAAGGGUUAAUGCUUUACCAAAUGACACAUUUUGGACUUUCCAAAUUAAAAGACUUAAAUUGUAAUGGAAAAUGAAGGAAUUGAUUUUGGUAUUUUAUAAAUCAUUGUGAUAAAUGAAGAAAUUGCUCAAAAUGAGCAGAUCUGGCAUCAUCAUUUAGACAUUUUAUAUUAGAUAUAUACUUCACUUUAAUGUUUACAUGUUGGAGUAUAUAGGGUCUACCAUUCCCUUGGUCCUCUUGUAUUACUUUUUAUGUUAAUUCAAUAAUAACAAAUGUGCGCAAAUAUAAAUGUACAUUAUUUGAUUUAUUUAGUUAUCUGUGUGAAAUUGUACACAUUUUUAUGCCCCUGGUAGGGUGGCAUAUAGCAGUUGCACUGUCCAUCUGUCUGGCAUUACAUUUUCCGGACUUUUUUCAUAAAUGCUUUGAGAUAUUAACCUUAUAUUUGUUGUGUUAGUCUACCUACAUGACUUACAGAUGAAUUGAGAGGUCCAUUGAGUUAUGGUCAUUGGACUUAGGAUUUCUCUAUUAUAAAUGUUUUCCUGAGAUUUUUUUUUUUACAAAAGUCUUUCAGAUAUUUAGCUGAUUUUUGGUAUGUAAGUCUAUCGACUUGACCUUCAGAUGAAGUGUUAGUUUUGUUCUGGCCCAUUGAUUUUUGGUGAUGUUAUGGACCUUUGACUUGGAAAUUAAUUUUCUCUAUAAUAACCGUUUUCCUGAUGUUUUUUUAUGAAACGCUUUAUGAUAUUCACUGAUAUUUUGUUUGUGAGUGUACCUACAUAACUUAAAGAUCAAGUCAGACUUUCAUUUCGGUCCAUUGAUAUUUGAUUAAAUCAGCGGCCUUGGGCUUUUCUUAAAAAUAACACUUCGGGAGAUUUUUCCAAAACGCUUUCAGAUACUGUCCAAGGCCCUAAACUUUGUCAUAUAUCAAUGGACCAUAACUUUGUAGUGAUUUUAAGCUCAUCUGUCACUAAGUGACAUAGUGAGCUUAUAUGACCGUGUGAUGUCCGUUGUGCGUCCGUCCGUCUGUCAACAAUUUGUUUGUGUAGACAGUAGAGGUCACAGUUUUCAUCCAAUCUUUAUGAAAUUUGGUCAGAAUGUAUAUCUUGAUGAAAUCUGGGUUGGGAUUGUAUUUGGGUCAUCUGGGGUCAAAAACUAGGUCACUAGGUCAAAUAAUAGAAAAACCUUGUGUAGACAAUAGAGGUCACAGUUUUCAUCCAAUCUUUAUGAAAUUUGGUCAGAAUGUUUAUCUUGAUGAAAUCUGGGUCGGAUUGUAUUUGGGUCAUCUGGGGUCAAAAACUAGGUCACUAGGUCAAAUAAUAGACAAACCUUGUGUAGACAAUAGAGGUCACAGUUUUCAUCCAAUCUUUAUGAAAUUUGGUCAGAAUGUUUAUCUUGAUAAAAUCUGUAUUGGGAUUGUAUUUUGGUCAUCUGGGGUCAGAAACUAGGUCACUAGGUCAAAUAAUAGAAAAACCUUGUGUAGACAAUUGAGGUCAGUUUUCAUCAGAUCUUAUUGAAAUAUGGUCAGAAUGUUUGUCUUGUUAAAAUCUUGGUUGGGAUCAAAUUGGGUCAUCUAGGGUAAAAACUAGGUCAAUAGGUCAAAGUUUAAAAAAAACUUGUGUAGACAGUAGAGGUCACAGCUUUAAUCAAAACUUAAUAAAAUUUGGCCAGAAUGUUAAUCUUGAUGAAACCUGGGUUGGGAUUGUAUUUGGGUCAUCUGGGGUCAAAAACUAGGUCACUAUAUCAAAUCAUAGAAAAAAAUUGUGUAGACAAUAGAGGUCAUAGUUUUCAUCUGAUCUUUAUGAAAUAUGGUCAGAAUGUCUAUCUUGAUAAUAUCUGAUUUUAAAUCGUAUAUGGGUCAUCUGGGGUCAAAAAUUAGGUCGCUUGGCCAAUUCUAGUAAAACCUUGUGUAGAUGAAAGAGGUCACAGUUUUCAUCACAUCUUAAUGAAAUUUUGUCAGAAUGUAUUAAUUGAUGAAAUCUGGCUUGGGGUUGUAUAUGGGUCUGAUAGAAUUUAAGUUGAUGUAGCAAGGUAAGUCAGGUGAGCAAUUCAGGGCCAUCAUGGCCCUCUUGUUCUUUGGAUAUUCUUAUGUUUUAAAUGAAACAGAUGUAUGUGUGUGUGUGUGUGUGUGUGUGUGUGUGUGUGCGCAUGUUUGUGCGUGUUUGUUUUUUAGGGUAUCUGAACUAUCUUCUGUUGACAUUUAUGGUUCAUAAUUAAAAAUUGCUCGGAGUGUUUUCAAUACUAGCUUGUUUGUUAAAGUUUUCAAUUUUCUUCAAUAAAAAAGUGAAAUUUGA